GAUGAACGCUGGCGGCGUGCCUAAUACAUGCAAGUCGAGCGAACAGACGAGGAGCUUGCUCCUCUGACGUUAGCGGCGGACGGGUGAGUAACACGUGGAUAACCUACCUAUAAGACUGGGAUAACUUCGGGAAACCGGAGCUAAUACCGGAUAAUAUAUUGAACCGCAUGGUUCAAUAGUGAAAGACGGUUUUGCUGUCACUUAUAGAUGGAUCCGCGCCGCAUUAGCUAGUUGGUAAGGUAACGGCUUACCAAGGCAACGAUGCGUAGCCGACCUGAGAGGGUGACGGCCAACAUGGGACAUAGGACACGGUCCAGACCCCAACGGGAGGCAGAAGAGGGGAACCUUCCGCAAGGGGCGAAGGCUGACCGGAGAAAGGCGGCGGGGGGGAGGAAGUCUUUCGGAUCGUAAACCCUGGUUAUAAGGAAAGACAAAAGGGGAAAGUAACAAGGCAGGCUUGAACGUUACUAAACCAAAAAGCACCGCUUACUUCCUG
rnacentral:rRNA from 1 species